GGGGGCGUGGCCCGUCCUCCAGCGCUCUGUUUACUCCGACGCGCUCGCGGUGACAACACGUACACAACGUGGGACAUUAUACCUGUCAAUCAACCCGCUAACGCCUCAUAAUGUACUAACGACGUGGACAUUUAUCAGUCCACACACACAGUGUAUAUGAGGCAGACAAUGACUGCGCCACAAAAUGCUAUUCAGCUAGCUUACGUUUCUGUGCUACUCGGCUAACAAAGUUAGCUGCUAAUGCUAGCUGACUCAACACAAAACUACCUAGCCUAUAACGAGGUAAAAGUAGCGCCGCUUCAUCCACACAGGACGUCAACCUUCGGGUAAUCGUUGGGCAGUAGGGCGCUGUUUACCUCACGGAGCAGGGCUUCGGUCCUCGGCCUCCGGUCCUCGGCCUCGGGUUGGAGAGACCUCCGACCGACUGGGGGCUGUGGGUUACAGGAGCGGUACUGCACCCUUUGGCCCUCGCAGUACCGCCCCCCGUUCUGGGGUACAGGGUCCUGGCAUUCUCUAUAGGAGAACUCCACUCCGCCCCCGCAGGUCCUGGAACACUCCCGCCACGACCCCCACAGGCCCCAGCCCCCGUCUACCACCACCUGAGGAGACCAGGAGGAAAGGACCUCCUGGGUGGCCCGGCACAUCCCAUGAAGACAUGUUCCGUUGGGGCAGGCGGUGCCGUCGGCCCAGGGCAAGCUGCCGUUCUUGGUGGUGCAGUGGUGGCCGCCCUCCUCGUGGCACCAGAGCUGGGAGCAGGGCUCGCUGUCCGACGUGUUGGGGCAGCGGAGGAACUCCUCUCCGAAGAUCUGUUGGCACUGGCGGUCCAGGCUGAAGGUGCGGCCGGGCAGCCCCCGGGGCAGCGGCAUGGCCGUCUCCGGGGCGUCCAGCAGGCAG